ensembl:snoRNA small nucleolar RNA SNORA5
UGCAGCCUUGUCAAAUUCAGAACGUCCAUUUCAGUUGACUGUUCUGGCCAAAUGGCUGCCAUAGUACAAUGGUAGUUCAUGGGCCCCACUUCGCAUGAAUGAUGGGGAUAAUUUUUUUGCUACCUACAUUU